CAGAGACGCUCUAAAGUCUCCCAGGUGGGUACAUCAGCUCGCCACACAGAUGUUGUCACCCUGACGGCAGCGCUGCCACACCGCGAGUGUAAAUUGCAUCCAGCUUGGAGGUGCGCCCGUGGAUCAGGUUGUCCACGACCACCACGUAGCAACCAAUCAUGACGCAGAUGGGCAGCAGGAAGAAGAAGGCCACGCGGGCGAAGUUGACGGAGUCUUGGCGUCGCAGGUAGAUGACGUCCUGCAUUUUGAAGCAGGUGGUGAAGUUGCUGUCGCGGUCGACCCCACCCGAGAAAAGCAAGGGGGCGGUCCCGCCCAGGGUCAUUAGCCACGCCCCGGCACACGCUGCCACCGUCUUGGGCACGUUCCUCAGCUCCUUGCCGUGCUUGGGCUGCACAAUGGCCAUGUAUCGGUCGGCGCUGAUGAGAGUGAAGAGCCACAUGGCGAUGCACGGGUAGAAGACCGUGAUGGCGGCGCUGAUGCGGCAGAAAAUAUCGCCCAGGGGCCAGAAGUCCCAGUGGAGGUAGACCAUCCGGAAGGGGAGAAGCAGGAUGAAGGGCGAAAACCCAUAAAGCGCUGAGGUUGACCAUGAGGCCGCUGACGAAGAUGAAGCAAUAGAAGACCAGGCCAGCCGUGCGGUACUCAUCCGGAAGCCGAGAUGAGUUGGGAGGGAGUGUCAAGGUCAUUGUAGCUCCAAAUUCUGCAGAAAAAAACAGCAAAAAAGUGCGACACCAGGUAAGAAGUUUUUUUAAUACUUAAAAUGUCACAAAAAGUUUCAAACAUUUUUUCUCAAAUAGUUGCCUCCGCUUGAAAAGAUGCCGUAACCCAAUGAA